AACGAACGCUGGCGGCAGGCCUAACACAUGCAAGUCGAGCGAGGACUUCGGUCCUAGCGGCGGACGGGUGAGUAACGCGUGGGAACGUGCCCUUUGCUUCGGAAUAGCCCUGGGAAACUGGGAGUAAUACCGGCUGAGCCCUUUGGGGGAAAGAUUUAUCGGCGAAGGAUCGGCCCGCGUUGGAUUAGGUAGUUGGUGGGGUAAUGGCCUACCAAGCCGACGAUCCAUAGCUGGUUUGAGAGGAUGAUCAGCCACACUGGGACUGGGACACGGCCCAGACUCCUACGGGAGGCAGCAGUGGGGAAUCUUAGACAAUGGGGGAAACCCUGAUCUAGCCAUGCCGCGUGAGCGAUGAAGGCCUUAGGGUUGUAAAGCUCUUUCAGCUGGGAAGAUAAUGACGGUACCAGCAGAAGAAGCCCCGGCUAACUCCGU
rnacentral:rRNA from 1 species